GCAGGCGCAGCCCAGCCCAGGCCCAGGCAAUGGCUUCCAAAAAUAGCUAGCGAGCAAGCUGCAAGUUUCCUUGUACAAUGAAGAACAUGGAGCAUCACAUUUACUGAUUUCAUCACUUAAAUUUGCAGAUUUUUACUUUUUUCAUUGAAAUUGACAAUUUAUUUUCACAAGCAAUCAUCUGAGAUAAAGUCUAAUUUUGUUUCUACUAUCAAUUUCUCGUACACCGCAGCCCAAUUUCACUCAGUCAUAAUAAGCUAAUAUUUUCUUCCAAUUUAAAUAAAAUUAAUUCAAUACUUGCAUUACAAUUCAAAUUUGAUCAAAAAACAAUAAAAACUGCUAUUAAAUUGUUAUUUGAGCUCUUGAAAAUUGAGAAAAUCAACAUAAACUAUUCUGAUCUGCUAACCUCACAAUUGUAAUUUUUGGCUAUGCGGUGAUUAAUUAAAGAAAUGAAAAUAUUUUAAAAUAUGAUGAAGAAAAUGAACAAGAAGAAACUGGAGGAGAUGGAAAAGAAGAAACUGAAGAGGAUACAUGAAGAAAAUUUGAAGAAGAUCUAUUGAUGAACAUUGGUAUGAUAGAAGAAAUUGUCCAAUAUGAACUAUGAUCCGUUUCGAAUGUACACACUUUUUCAAUGAACUUCAUCCACUUCGGCAUAGCUUCAUGGUAUCACCGUUGGUCAGGGUGACUUCUAGAGGCCAGCUCCACUAAGAAUUAUGAACUUCACUUCCCGGAGGUCUGGAUUCUACCUAAAUCUAAAGGGGAAUCAAAAUAAAAGCAAAACCAUUGAAAGAAAAUUGCUGUCGAGCAGUCAAGGAAUAAUGAUCUAUUGAUGGAAGAAUGCAAAAAUGGAAAAGUAUAAUUUAUUGGCGUAAUUGAAGCAGGGUUUAGCAGACAGGUCUACCUCCUCUGGAGGGAAAACAUGCAAGGAGAUGGUGAAGAACAUUCUUCGGAGACUCGUGACAGACAAUGUUGGAAUGCUCUUCAGCUGGUUGGGAGGAAAGGGAAAACGUUGCUUUCCAAUUCGCCACUGGUGGAGGUAAUCUACGAAUGGAAGUUGAAUGUGCAGACAGACAUCAUCAAUGAAAUCAAAAUUAACAUACCAGUAAGGAAAAUUUUAAGGGAAUUAGAGACUACCCAGAAAAGUUCAGAGUCAGAGAUUAGUAAAGCUAUAGUUUCAAAGAUAUUUCUGAUGUAAAAAUUUGGGAAUUACUACCAGUGAAAUUAGAAGAAGAAUUUACCGCUUUGGAGGAAAAAGUAUCUGAAACAGGAGCAUUCAAGUCAAAAAUGAUAAGGUCAAAUUUCUCUAAAGUAACUUUUGAGUGCUCCAAUUUUUUUAUUUUUUAUUUGGUUGCCAUUGUGAGAUUUUGAAUGUACAAUACUUUUUACAGUAGAGUCCUGCUAUUCCAAAGUUCGGUAAAGUAUACCAUAGUUCGGUAAAGUUUCAUAGCUCUAACUUUUAAGUUAAUACAGCCCUUUAAUUAGGUUCCUGCCAUUCGGAGAGGGUUUAUUUAAAAAGAUAUGUUUUCUGUUGAAGCUUUACAUCAAGACCUUUCAUUCAAUUUUGCGGUUAAAAGGUGUGCGGUUUAUGGUUCUCUCAAAAGUUCAAAUCGUUAGCUUUAUAUAUAGAUAUAAUAAAUCAGAAUGUGUUGCUCUGUAACCAAAGAUUAUAUUUAUUGAUUUGAAAAAAAAAUUUAAUAAACAUUAAAAUAUAGACACUUUUGAAUUAAUAUGUAACCAAGUAUAUGUAUUAAGUAUAUGUAACCAAAGAAACAAUAUUCAAUAUCCAAAAAAUUCUGUGUAUCUCCUUCACGAUCUUUCCAAACUAUUGCUUUCAACAAACUCAAAAUAAACAUUUUAUGGUUACUAGGGACAUGUGCUUCUCAGUCUUCAGAUGAUAUUUAUAAAGAAUACUAUAAUAUGUUCUUUACAUCUCCCCCCUCCCCACAGACAGAAUUGACAAAAACAAAUAUAAACAAACCAGCACAAAAGAAUAAACAUAUAUGAAUAUAUAAA